rnacentral:pre_miRNA from 1 species
AGAGUAUAAUGCAGCCAAGGAUGACUUGCCGGAGCGUUGUUCAUCAUGCAUAAAAAAUAUUGAUGAUGAUGAUGGUGAUGAACAUAAUUCUGGCAAGUUGUCCUUCGGCUACAUUUUGCUCUCU